rfam:Nematostella vectensis strain CH2 x CH6 NEMVEscaffold_57_Cont8613, whole genome shotgun sequence.
GCCAAGUGAUGAUAUUCCACGGAUCUGAUACGAUCCACUCAUUUGUUCUUUAUGAACACUUGAAAACCAGAGACUUAAUCAUGGUCUGAAUCUUAGUGGGUGUCCGUGAGGUGGACACACGCCGUAAAGGCAGACCUAGAGUGACACUUCUGUGCUGACUCUACCGGGCGGCCGACUUGAGAGUUCGUCUACUGCUUAUCCAGCCAGUUGACAGUCCUUAUUUCUCAGUCAACGUGAUGCACAUAAAUGAUCUUUAGUAAUCUGAUGGCA